rnacentral:lncRNA from 1 species
CUCAUGCACACAGCCAGUCCACUGUUGAGAAGGCAUUGUGAAAUAUCUCUAGGCCCAUCACCUACGUGAUGUGACUCUUCUUUCCUGCCUGAACCCUGCCCCCAAGAGACAUUGUGACAUAUCACUGGGUCCAGCUUCCAGGUAAUGUAACAGUCCUGCCUUGGCCCUGCCCACAAGGGGCAUUGUGACAUAUUGCUGAGCCCAGUACCUAGGUGAUAUGACUCUCCUGAAUUGCCCCUGCACUCAGGGGAGACUUUUGACCCUGCCCAAAGUGGCAAUUGUGACAUAUCUUUGGCCAGCACCCAGGAGAUCCAAACUUUGUUCCUGGUCUCUCUCCACAGUUGGAAUUGGGAACUACACAUGGGCACAGCUUACAGGUGGAAUGAUGACUCACACCUGAAGAUAUUUUGACCUUUGUAGUCUUAGGGCAAAAACUAAGGUCCUGUGUCUUCAACUUGUAGGAUGGUCACGGAAUAUUACAACUUGCAUGCACGUUGAAUGAAGCCCUCAAAUGCUACAAAGAGUGCCAAAAUAGAGCCCAGCUAAAACUGUGGUAAAACUGUGGCUGUUGUAUGCAAACUCAAAUAAAAGUAAGGAUUAUCAGCCUUCCACAUUAACAGAACCCACUGUUGAGGUUCUGAAUCGCUCACCAAGAGGCAAUCAAGUUGGAAUUGUGACUCUCAUGCAUCAAUCCAAUCGACAGAUGAGAUGAUAACACCAAGUCCAGGAUUUAGAACACCUGGGGGCUGUGCUUCCCCUAUCAAAACACAGUCUGUUGGUGAGAUUUGGGCUCUCGUGCAUUGAUUUAGUCCACUGUUGUGACUGACUUGCAUAGUUGAACUCAAACCCACAAGAGGUGUUGACUCUUAUACCUUUAGCAGGAAAAUGUCCCGGAUUGUGAAUUUCUGCUAUUGACCGGGUCCAGCUGGAUCCAGGUAUGAGAGUCAUCAUCUCACCUGUGAGCUGUGACCAUGUAUAUGUCGCAAUUUCACCUGUCAUCAGGAAGCAGACAUGAGAGUCCUAUCACCUGGGUGCUGGACGAAGUUUCGCUCUUGUUUCCCAGGCCGGAGCACAAUGGUGUGAUCUCGACUCACUGCAACCUCCGCCUCCCGGAUUCAAGCGAUUCUCCUGCCUCAGCCUGCCGAGUAGCUGGGAUUACAGGUGCCCACCACGGUGCCCAGCUAAUUUUUGUAUAUUUAGUAGAGACUGGGUUUCACCAUGUUGACUAAGCUGAUCUUGAACUUCUGACCUCAGAUGAAAAAAGAUGCAAAGAAGACAUAUUUGCUUUUUAUCCACACAUCAUUUCCAAUCACUAUGCUGAGCAAAGUCAAUGUGAGCAGAGCUGAGAAUAGCAGUUUUCUGGCAGGACGGCCACUUCUGAGCAAAAAAUGACACAAUAAAAGUAUAAAUAUUUAAUAGUAAGCUAAUAUAUUUUCAGCAAAUUAAGCAUAUGCAUUAAUAAAAUUAUUGUGGUAU